rnacentral:rRNA from 1 species
UACGUAGGGUGCGAGCGUUAAUCGGAAUUACUGGGCGUAAAGCGUGCGCAGGCGGUUUUGUAAGCCAGACGUGAAAUCCCCGGGCUUAACCUGGGAACUGCGUUUGGAACUGCAAGACUAGAGUGUGUCAGAGGGAGGUGGAAUUCCACGUGUAGCAGUGAAAUGCGUAGAUAUGUGGAGGAACACCGAUGGCGAAGGCAGCCUCCUGGGAUAACACUGACGCUCAUGCACGAAAGCGUGGGGAGCAAACAGGAUUAGAUACCCUGGUAGUCCACGCCCUAAACGAUGUCAACUGGUUGUUGGGAGAGAAAUCUUUCAGUAACGAAGCUAACGCGUGAAGUUGACCGCCUGGGGAGUACGGCCGCAAGGUUGAA